UUGGAGAGUUUGAUCCUGGCUCAGGAUGAACGCUGGCUGCGUGCUUAACACAUGCAAGUCGAACGAUGACGACCGGGCUUGCCUGGUCUGAUUAGUGGCGAACGGGUGAGUAACACGUGAGUAACCUGCCCCUCACUUCGGGAUAACCUCGGGAAAUCGUGGCUAAUACCGGAUAUGAACUUCUACCGCAUGGUGGUUGUUGGAAAGUUUUUCGGUGAGGGAUGGACUCGCGGCCUAUCAGUUUGUUGGUGAGGUAAUGGCUCACCAAGACGAUGACGGGUAGCCGGCCUGAGAGGGCGACCGGCCACACUGGGACUGAGACACGGCCCAGACUCCUACGGGAGGCAGCAGUGGGGAAUAUUGCACAAUGGGCGAAAGCCUGAUGCAGCGACGCAGCGUGAGGGAUGACUGCCUUCGGGUUGUAAACCUCUUUCAGUAGGGAAGAAGCGAAAGUGACGGUACCUGCAGAAGAAGCGCCGGCUAACUACGUG
rnacentral:rRNA from 1 species